rnacentral:rRNA from 1 species
CCUACGGGAGGCUGCAGUGAGGAAUAUUGGUCAAUGGUCGGGAGACUGAACCAGCCAAGUCGCGUGAGGGAUGAAGGUACAGCGUAUCGUAAACCUCUUUUGUCAGGGAACAAAGGCGGGGACGUGUCCCCGGAUGAGUGUACCUGAAGAAAAAGCAUCGGCCAACGCCGUGCCAGCAGCCGCGGUAAUACGGAGGAUGCGAGCGUUAUCCGGAUUUAGUGGGUUUAAAGGGUGCGCAGGCGGAAGAUCAAGUCAGCGGUAAAAUUGAGGGGCUCAACCUCUUCGCGCCGUUGAAACUGGUUUUCUUGAGUGAGUGAGAAGUAUGCGGAAUGCGCGGUGUAGCGGUGAAAUGCUUAGAUAUCGCGCAGAACCCCGAUUGCGAAGGCAGCGUACCGGCUCCACACUGACGCUGAGGCACGAAAGCGUGGGUAUCGAACAGGAUUAGAUACCCCUGUAGUC